rnacentral:rRNA from 1 species
GACGAAUGCUGGCUGCGUGCUUAACACAUGCAAGUCGAACGGUGAAGGAGGGCUUGCCCUCCGGAUCAGUGGCGAACGGGUGAGUAACACGUGGGCAACCUGCCCCUCACUCUGGGAUAACGCCGGGAAACCGGCGCUAAUACCGGAUACGACCAGGCGCGACAUCUCGCCUGGUGGAAAGAAUUUCGGUGAGGGAUGGGCCCGCGGCCUAUCAGCUAGUUGGUGGGGUAACGGCCCACCAAGGCGACGACGGGUAGCCGGCCUGAGAGGGCGACCGGCCACACUGGGACUGAGACACGGCCCAGACUCCUACGGGAGGCAGCAGUGGGGAAUAUUGGACAAUGGACGCAAGUCUGAUCCAGCCAUGCCGCGUGAAGGAUUAAGGUCCUCUGGAUUGUAAACUUCUUUUAUAAGGGACGAAAAAAGGCUUUUCUAAGUCGUCUGACGGUACCUUAUGAAUAAGCACCGGCUAACUCCGUGCCAGCAGCCGCUGCGGUAA